GACGAACGCUGGCGGCGUGCUUAACACAUGCAAGUCGAACAGUGGCGAACGGGUGAGUAAUGCUUGGGAAUCUAGCUUAUGGAGGGGGAUAACUACGGGAAACUGUAGCUAAUACCGCGUACCAUAGGAUGAGCCCAAGUGGGAUUAGGUAGUUGGUGAGGUAAAGGCUCACCAAGCCGACGAUCUCUAGCUGGUCUGAGAGGAUGACCAGCCAUACUGGGACUGAGACACGGCCCAGACUCCUACGGGAGGCAGCAGUGGGGAAUAUUGGGCAAUGGGGGCAACCUGACGCAGUCAUGCCGCGUGAAUGAAGAAGGCCUUCGGGUUGUAAAGUUCUUUCGGUGACGAGGCGUUAAUCACAGAAGAAGCACCGGCUAACUCCGUGCCAGCAGCCGCGGUAAUUC
rnacentral:rRNA from 1 species